GAGACGGAUUGGUGCCUUCGGGAACGUCUGACACAGGUGCUGCAUGGCUGUCGUCAGCUCGUGUCGUGAGAUGUUGGGUUAAGUCCCAUAACGAGCGCAACCCCUACCUUUAGUUGCCAUCAGGUUAAGCUGGGGACUCUAAGGAACUGCCUACGCAAGUAGUGAGGAAGGCGGGGAUGACGUCAAAUCAGCACGGCCCUUACGUCCAGGGCUACACACGUGCUACAAUGGCCGAUACAGAGGGCAGCUACCUGGUGACAGGAUGCAAAUCUCCAAAGUCGGUCUCAGUUCGGAUCGGAGUCUGCAACCCGACUCCGUGAAGUUGGAUUCGCUAGUAAUCGCGCAUCAGCCAUGGCGCGGUGAAUACGUUCCCGGGCCUU
rnacentral:rRNA from 1 species